AAAUUUUCAAAAGAGCCCCUGGAAAAAGAAAAAUGAAUAUCUUUGCCAAGGAAUACUAAGGCAAAUGGAUAAAAAACCUUCAGUCCAUGCAUUGGUAUGUAAUUGUUGACAAAAAUACAAUGAAUGGCCUCACUACUUUUCCACAUGCAAAGAGGUUAACCAAGGAGAAAUUAAAGAAAUUGUCAAAAACCUAGGUAAAUACAGAAUUGCUUAGUACAAACAUAUCUAUACCCAGUACAAGUUCGUCCACUUCUUUGGAGCAUGGUACUUCAAACAGAGACACUGUCAACAAUUUUGUAGAAGGUGAGCCGGUGUCAAAUUCCAGUAAGGGACAUGAUUUCAAUUUUGCACCAACAGCAGAGCUAAAAUUCAUUUUGCCGCAAAAAACUGGAGGAUGUGAAAGAAAAAAGUGCAGAAGUUAAAAUUAAGUUUUUCAUAUGAGCACAUAAAAAAUAAUCAUGACAAAGUUCAGUUGUAUACAGGUUUGACAUGUAAUAAAUAUUUUUGUAAUCUUA